AAAAAAUCAAACAAAAUUAUAAAUUGAUUACAUUUUCUAAAACUACUAAUUAUCUUUUUCUCAUUCAUCAAAUCAUUGUAAACCGAGUUCCAUUAGAGAGUUCGUUGAUAGCAAGCUCCACCACCGCCAAUACAGGUUUUACGAUUUGAAGUUCACCACGCAUACAAUUACCAAUGACACAAGUUUCAUCCCGGGAAGAAUGUUGGAAUUGGCAAGGACCAUACAAUCUUUGCUCUAAUUGAUGGAUUAGUGAAAUUUGAGAAGUAUGGUCCUGACAAGAAAAAGUAUCCGCUACUGUUUCCUUAUGGUUCUUACGGCAGGAUUUAAACAGAAGUUCGACUGGUAAAACGUUGACAUGCCGAGAAUUCUAUGCAUACACAUUUCAGUUGUCUACUCCAACAAUUUGUUGUCGAUAACUGUGUCAAAAGGCAAGCGAAUAACUUGAGGUGGAUUGCACUCAACCAAGAUAAGAUACAUGCUGAUUUAUACAAGGGUUUAGAGAAUUCUUUAAAUGUUGGAGAGCAUAACUGAGAUUCUGAUUUUUCGUUGAGAUAUGUUACUUGUAACAAAAUAAUUUUAACUUUAAUUCAUACUUUCACACGCAUCGCGUGCAUAUAAAACUAGGAUU